rnacentral:rRNA from 1 species
AUGGAACGCUGGCGGCAGGCCUAACACAUGCAAGUCGAACGGUAGCACAGAGAGCUUGCUCUCGGGUGACGAGUGGCGGAUGGGUGAGUAACGUCUGGGAAACUGCCCGAUGGAGGGGGAUAACUACUGGAAACGGUAGCUAAUACCGCAUAACGUCGCAAGACCAAAGUGGGGGACCUUCGGGCCUCACACCAUCGGAUGUGCCCAGAUGGGAUUAGCUAGUAGGUGGGGUAAUGGCUCACCUAGGCGACGAUCCCUAGCUGGUCUGAGAGGAUGACCAGCCACACUGGAACUGAGACACGGGCCAGACUCCUACGGGAGGCAGCAGUGGGGAAUAUUGCACAAUGGGCGCAAGCCUGAUGCAGCCAUGCCGCGUGUAUGAAGAAGGCCUUCGGGUUGUAAAGUACUUUCAGCGGGGAGGAAGGCGGUGAAGUUAAUAACUUCACCGAUUGACGUUACCCACAGAAGAAGCACCGGCUAACUCCGUGCCAGCAGCCGCAGUAA